rnacentral:rRNA from 1 species
GGCCUACAUAUGCAAGUCGAACGGUAACAUGAGAGCUUGCUCUUGAUGACGAGUGGCGCACGGGUGCGUAACGCGUAUGCAAUCUACCUAUAACUGAGGAAUAGCCCAGAGAAAUUUGGAUUAAUACCUCAUAAUAAUAUUUUUUGGCAUCAUUAAAUAUUUAAAACUCCGGUGGUUAUAGAUGAGCAUGCGUUCUAUUAGUUUGUUGGUGAGGUAAAAGCUCACCAAGACUACGAUAGAUAGGGGGCCUGAAAGGGUGAUCCCCCACACUGGUACUGAGACACGGACCAGACUCCUACGGGAGGCAGCAGCGAGGAAUAUUGCACAAUGGAGGAAACUCUGAUGCAGCCAUGCCGCGUGCAGGAUGACGGCCCUACGGGUUGUAAACUGCUUUUUUACAAGAAGAAACCUUGGUACGUGUACCAACUUGACGGUAUUGUAAGAAUAAGCACCGGCUAACUCCGUGCCAGCAGCCGCGGUAAUACGGAGGGUGCAAGCGUUAUCCGGAUUUAUUAGGUUUAAAGGGUUCGCAGGCGGAAUUUUAAGUCAGUGGUGAAAGCCUAUAGCUCAACUAUAGAACUGCCACUGAUACUGAUAUUCUUGAGUGUAGAUGAAGUGGGCGGAAUAUGUCAUGUAGCGGUGAAAUGCAUAGAUAUGUCAUGGAACACCAAUUGCGAAGGCAGCUCACUAAACUAUUACUGACGCUCAUGGACGAAAGCAUGGGGAGCGAACAGGAUUAGAUACCCUGGUAGUCCAUGCCGUAAACUAUGAUCACUAGAUGUUGGCGAUAUACUGUCAGUG